rnacentral:rRNA from 1 species
GACGAACGCUGGCGGCGUGCUUAACACAUGCAAGUCGAACGGAGUGCCUAUGAUAGAGACUUCGGUCAAUGGAUUAGGUUACUUAGUGGCGGACUGGUGAGUAACGCGUGAGGAACCUGCCUUUCAGAGGGGGACAACAGUUGGAAACGACUGCUAAUACCGCAUGACACAUCGAUGGGGCAUCCCGUUGAUGUCAAAGAUUUAUCGCUGAAAGAUGGCCUCGCGUCUGAUUAGAUAGUUGGCGGGGUAACGGCCCGACCAAGUCGACGAUCAGUAGCCGGACUGAGAGGUUGACCGGCCACAUUGGAACUGAGACACGGUCCAGACUCCUACGGAGGCAGCAGUGGGGAAUCUUCCGCAAUGGGCGAAAGCCUGACGGAGCAACGCCGCGUGAGUGAAGAAGGUCUUCGGAUCGUAAAGCUCUGUUGUCGGGGACGAAGUGUUGAGGCCUAGAAUAUAGGUUUCAAAUGACGGUACCUGACGAGG